CUCUCCAGCACCCAGAGGUUCC
rnacentral:misc_RNA from 1 species